rnacentral:rRNA from 1 species
ACAGCAGUCGCCGCGGGAAUACAGAGGGUGCGAGCGUUAAUCGGAUUUACUGGGCGUAAAGCGUGCGUAGGCGGCUUUUUAAGUCGGAUGUGAAAUCCCUGAGCUUAACUUAGGAAUUGCAUUCGAUACUGGGAAGCUAGAGUAUGGGAGAGGAUGGUAGAAUUCCAGGUGUAGCGGUGAAAUGCGUAGAGAUCUGGAGGAAUACCGAUGGCGAAGGCAGCCAUCUGGCCUAAUACUGACGCUGAGGUACGAAAGCAUGGGGAGCAAACAGGAUUAGAUACCCGGGUAGUCCCUGUCUCUUAUAC